rnacentral:rRNA from 1 species
GACGAACGCUGGCGGCGUGCCUAAUACAUGCAAGUCGAGCGAGAUGUUAGCGCAUGAACCUUCGGGGGAUUAUGCUAACGGACAGCGGCGGACGGGUGAGUAACGCGUAGGCAACCUGCCCCUGACAGAGGGAUAGCCAUUGGAAACGAUGAUUAAAACCUCAUGACACCGUAGAAGCACAUGCUUCAUCGGUCAAAGAUUUAUCGGUCAGGGAUGGGCCUGCGUCUGAUUAACUAGUUGGUGAGGUAACGGCUCACCAAGGUGACGAUCAGUAGCCGACCUGAGAGGGUGAUCGGCCACAUUGGAACUGAGACACGGUCCAAACUUCUACGGAAGGCAGCAGUAGGGAAUCUUGCACAAUGGGCGAAAGCCUGAUGCAGCAACGCCGCGUGAAGGAUGAAGGCCUUCGGGUUGUAAACUUCUGUUCUAAGGGAAGAAACAAAUGACGGUACCUUAGGAGCAAGCCCCGGCUAACUACGUGCCAGCAGCCGCGGUAAUACGUAGGGGGCAAGCGUUAUCCGGAAUUAUUGGGCGUAAAGAGUGCGUAGGUGGUUACCUAAGCGCAAGGUUUAAUUUAGAGGCUCAACCUCUACUUGCCUUGCGAACUGGGCUACUUGAGUGCAGGAGGGGAAAGCGGAAUUCCUAGUGUAGCGGUGAAAUGCGUAGAUAUUAGGAGGAACACCAGCGGCGAAGGCGGCUUUCUGGACUGUAACUGACACUGAGGCACGAAAGCGUGGGUAGCAAACAGG